UGAGGCUCCGUACAUCGUCAGAUUAUAUCUCGAAAAAUUCUAUUUUUCGUUUAUUAUAAUUUGUUAUUAAUUCAUAAAUUUAUCGAAACAAUCGUAAUUACGCGAGUGGUGAGUGUCGUAAUCAUGUGCAAAGAAGAAGCAAUAAGGAUGAAAUAUGAAGUGGGGAAGAAAACCCAAAGAGACAUGGAACGACUGCGGAGCAAUCUUGAGGGAUUCGUCCUGAAGAAUUGCACGGAUCCGAAGCUUGAGAAAGAUCGGGCGUCGAUUAUAAGAAGCAAAGAGAGCGCAACUUUGACGGGUAGCACGUUUAAGCGCCAUAAAUAAUCGGCGCAUAGAUAUUCGUUGAGGCACAUCUCCCGCAACGAACUUUCCGCACGUCGUAGUGCAGACGCGCGUGCACACACGAGACGAUGACGUUUUAGAUCGAUCGACGAGCCAAGUCACGUCAGGGCACUUCAUUUCCGCAGGCCGGGCCCGCAAUAAAGCAAGGAGAAAUCCUAUUUAUCCUCCGUCACACGAUAUUCGAAUCCGGCUGAAUUUAAUAAGCUCUGAUUGCGAACGCGCACCGUUAAAAGUGCUUGCCCACCGUCCGUCCAUCCGUCCGUCCGUCCGUCAAAUUUAACUUAGCGCCUGCAUUAAGUCCAAUUAGCCGAGCGAACGGAAAUGAAUCUCGCGCUGCGCAUUACUCGAUAUAUUAACUAUUAUAUAUGAAUAUAUGCGUAAUCGAAAUCCGGAGACUAAAGCAAUUGACGAAAAUUACCAGAGUACCAUAAUUUAACGUAAUCAUGUUAAUCAUGAUAUAUUAAUUAUUUAUAUUUUAUUAAUUAUUA